rnacentral:misc_RNA from 1 species
GCUUGAUAUGUGGUGAUGGAAUAUGGACAAUUCCAUCAGCUGUGCUUUCAAUUUUCAGGAUCAAUCCUCCAAUAUGCAUGUCAUUCAACCCUACAAGCAGCUGAGCUACAUGAUUGGAAGCUUGCUCACAUUGUAUACAACGAAACAAGCUACUCAUUUCUGUUUUACUUUGUACAUACAGAUCCUUGUGCCUUCAAUUUUAAGAUAGACUUUAUUUACUCAACCUUAAUGUACUAAAG